GCUAGAGUGGUGGAAUGGUAUACACAGGAGACUUAAAAUCUCCCGCCUUUCAGGAUUGUGGGUUCGAGUCCCACCUCUAGUACCA
rnacentral:tRNA from 1 species